GGAGUACUUCUUUCGUCUGAAAAUACUUGUUAUCAAAAUGGAUAAAAAAAGAUGUAUCUAGAACUAAAAUACGUCUAGAUACAUCUUCUUUUAUUCCUAAAUACAUCCCUUAGUUCUAGAUACAUCCUUUUUUAUUCAUUUUGAUAACAAGUAUUUUUGGACGAAGGGAGUAUCUC
rfam:Triticum urartu cultivar G1812 contig710807, whole genome shotgun sequence.